rnacentral:rRNA from 1 species
CCUACGGGAGGCAGCAGUAGGGAAUAUUGCACAAUGGGCGAAAGCCUGAUGGAGCAACGCCGCGUGGGUGAAGAAGGCCCUCGGAUUGUAAAACUCUGUUGAUAGAGAAGAAAGAGCGUGAGAGUAACUGUUUACGUUUCGACGGUAUCUAACCAGAAAGCCACGGUUAACUACGUGCCAGCAGCCGCGGCAAUACGUAGGUGGCAUGCGUUAUCCGGUUUUAGUGGGAGUAAAGGGAGAGCAGGCGGUCUUUUAAGUCUGAUGUGAAAGCCUUGGGCUUAACCGGAGAAGUGCAUUGGAAACUGGCAGACUUGAGUGCAGUAGAGGUGAGUGGAACUCCGUGUGUAGCGGUGAAAUGCGUAGAUAUAAGGAAGAACACCAAUGGCGAAGGCGGCUCUCUGGUCUGUAACUGACGCUGAGGUUCGAAAGCGUGGGUAGCAAACAGGAUUAGAUACCCCUGUAGUC